CAAAUGUAGGCUAAAUCCCGGGUCUCCGGGGCGUGAUUUUAAAACAAAUUCCGUGCCAUGCCCGGGGGUUGCCCGUGAGUUGCCCGGGGGUCGACCCCCCGGGAAAGCCGCUGAUACCUGCAUAAUCGUUGUUUACUGUUUAUUUUGUAUUCAGGUAUGGGGAAUUUAAGCGAUGAGAGUUGUAAAACUUGCAAAUGUAGUCCGACUAGUUUCUUUGACGUCAUCAUGCAACUAUUUAAUAUUGUGCCAUAUUCAUUAUUCAAUUUAUUCACAGCAAUUAGCCUUCUAUAAGCCAUACAAACGAUUAUAGCUUAUAGCCCACCUUGCCUUUAACAUUGAUCCUAUAUAUAAUGAAUUAACAUAGCUAACUUGAUUAUGUUGCUAGUCAAGUAUGGGACCUAUGGGUCUUCUAGAUCCUAGAGUAGCACUUCUGUAAUUAAUAUAAAUUCUCCGUAAGGCGGUAAUAUUAAUUAAGACUGUUCUUAUUUAUGCAUGACCUUUGACUAUUAAGUGGCCAAAAAUUGUGCCUACAGUAAUCAACUUAUUCCACUAUCCAGGUUGCAUCACUUUUGAUUGCAAAACACCCAGGUUUAUUAUACAUGGAUUUGCUAGCAAAAUAGCAGCAAUUGAUGAACUUGGUGUUGUUGUGUAAAGAAACAACGAAAAGUAUAUAUCAAUCAGAGUCAUUAUCUUGAUCAAUUUCCGAUGGGAUCUCCAAAGAAAGUAGCUACAUGUGCGGACAACAUGAAACUUCAGACUGCAGAAAAUUUCACAAUCCGUUAUCAAAACUUAUGUCACAGAAGUGGUAUUUAAAAGGACAUAUGUGACAACUGAAUGGUACCUUUUGUAAAUGUUUUGGCCAGGGGUGGGUAUUUAUUUUUUAAUUGAUAUUUGAGGUUGAGUAAUCAAUUUUUUUUACUUUUUAAUGGUUGGG